rnacentral:rRNA from 1 species
CGAACGCUGGCGGCGCGUCUUAAGCAUGCAAGUCGAGCGGUAAGUAUAGCUUGCUAUAACCUAGAGCGGCGGACUGGUGAGUAACGCGUGGGUGACGUACCUUUGUGACGGGGACAGCUGGUAGAAAUAUCAGAUAAUACCGGAUACGACUGCAUGUUGUCAGAGGACGUGCAGGAAAGGUUCUUUUGAACCGCACAGAGAGCGGCCCGCGUACUAUUAGCUAGUUGGUGAGGUAACGGCCCACCAAGGCGACGAUAGUUACCCGGCCUAAGAGGGUGAUCGGGCACAUUGGGACUGAGAUACGGCCCAGACUCCUACGGGAGGCAGCAGCUAAGAAUAUUCCGCAAUGGACGAAAGUCUGACGGAGCGACGCCGCGUGGAUGAUGAAGGCCGGAAAAGGUUGUAAAAUCCUUUUAUGACUGAGGAAUAAGGUUGGUGAGAGAAACGCCAGCUGGUGACUGUAGGUCAUGAAUAAGCAACGGCUAAUUACGUGCCAGCAGCAGC